AAAAAAUGAAAGGAAAAUACAGAAAAGGGGCGCUGGGAACAACCAUGGAGGCAGCAACGAGAUAUUUUCAGUUUGAAAAAAAAAAAUACCAAGCCAUACAUAGAUGCAAUUUCACGGAGGGAAUAAUAUUCGGGUUUGUUCACCGGUUGGAUCUCGUUAUUCCAUUUUAUCGCGUUGUUGGAUCCGGGCUUUCUUGGAAGUGAAGUAAGGCGGAAGAAAAUUAUUUCUUGGCACAUGAGAUUGGUGAAGUCCAAGACCUAAGUUAUGGUUAACUUGAGAAGCGACAAGGUAUGUAAAGCGCAACCCUUCUUUCUUUUGGCAUGCCUUAGUUUUCAAUAGGUUAUAUCACGAGCCUCGAGGAAAUUCUAAAUUCGAAAUCCGAGCAUGUUAUGAUCCUUAUAUAUAUAUUCCUUGGCACUCUUAUGUAUGAUUUGAUGAAAUAUGAACCAUUAUGUCUUUGAAAUAAUCGCUUUCCGAACUUUGCAUAAAAAAGUUUCACUUUAAAGAACUUUGUAAUUUCUAAAUGCCAUAUCUUUCACAGAAAGGCUCGGAUUGCUUCAAUAUUUUUGUAGACGUUUAUAUGGCAUAUAAUGAGUAUGUUUUCCAUAGGCGGAUUCGACUCGCGUCAAUACCCGUCCGUGGAUCCCGCGACUUUCCUUUAUGUAAUUUGGAUGACUUUUGAAAGAAUUUGGUAUGAUUAUCAUUUCGAAUUUCAAGUAUGGUCAUUUACUUAUAUUUGAGUCUAUGAUAAUGAUUUUAUGCAUAUGGUUACUCAUGACUCUGCUCGUGCGUUCUGUUAUAUCUUUCGCCGGUUCCCGGGCCGGUUCUGUUAUCGUGCGCACUUUGAUAUACUCCGGAGUUAUGCUGUGUUUAUGGUUCACCGAGCUACUCGCAAAAGAGGGUCGGGUUCCACAUAUAUUUGGUGUUAUGCUGUGUAUGGCGUUAUGUUGUGAUGUGAUAUGUGACGGGGAUACGGAUAUUUGAAACAUUCUGGUGUUAUGCUGUGUUAUGGCGCCAUCGACGGGCGGGCGACCAUAUUCUUCUGUACCCUACGCAUGACUUAUGUUUUAAAGUAAACAUUUUGAUAUGUUGGAUUUAUACUUAUGUUCUGUACUACUAUUUCGUUUAUGCUUCAGAUUUGUUUCUGCAUUUUCUGCUUUGCAUACUCAGUACAUAUUUCGUACUGACCCCCUUUCUUCGGGGGGCUGCGUUUCAUGCCCGCAGGUACAGAUACUCGCUUUGGUGAUCCGCCAGCUUAGGAUUCCCUUUCUGCUGUCUUGGAGUGCUCCUCUUAUUCCGGAGCCUACAUUUUGGUAUAUAUACUUGUUUGAUGCACAUGUAUAUAUAUUUGUUCAGGGGUACGGCGGGGCCCUAUCCCGCCAUAUGAUCCGUUUGGUCUGCUUAGAGGUCUGUAGACGUAUUUGUGGGUGUGUGUGCCUACUUCUGUUCAGAUGUGUUUGUAUGAUCCUAUUCGCUAUGGCAGCCUUGUCGGCGUGCAUUUUGUAUAUGUUUUGGGGCCGUUGUGCCAUUUGUUAGCCUUGUCGGCUUUUGAUACAUUUGAUAGCCUUGCCGGCUUUUCGAUAUAAGUUUAUGUAUAUGUUUGCGCUGAAUUGUGUCUGAUACAGUUUGACAUAGUUUGAGACGGCAUAUAGUGUUUUUGGACGUAUAUGCUAUUUGGAUGUGAUCAGAUAUGGAUAGGUAUGUCAGGGUGCCCAAGUGGGGCUCCAGUCACGGCCUACGGGGUUGGGUCGUGACAGAAGUGGUAUCAGAGCGGUUCGUCCUCGGAAUGUCUACAGACCGUGUCUAGUAGAGUCUUGUUUAUCGGUGUGUUGUGCACCACAUCUAUAAACAGGAGGCUACAGGACAUUUAGGGUGUUACCUUUCUUUGGAUCUUAGAUCGUGCGAUAGAGCCAGCCGUAGGAAAUGAAUUCCUUUCUACAAUCCUUUGAUUUCAGCCAAAGAACGACAUCGACAGAAGACAAUGACUGAUGAUAUUGGAAGCUACACAGUACUCAGGUAAGCAAUGGUAUGAAAGAUGUAUGUCGGGGAAGUUAUUUGAGGUAUGAUUGAAAUAUAAAGUUGAAGAUUGAACAGAAAAGUAAACAGGAAAGUGCCUCCGAUGCCGUUUGAGUUAGGCAUGUGAGGUAAGUUUCGACAUUUUCAUACUUUUAUUUGAAAUUGUUAGCCCUGUGUGGCUAUGAUGCGAUAUGAUAUGAUAUAUAUAUACGUAUAUGUGUUGGCCCUGUGAGGCAUGGUUGGUAUUUCCUGCGUGCAGGUUCUAGGAUAGUAAGAAGUAUAGAGGAAACUCUGCCCAAAUUUUCCCAGAAAGAGGAAAAAAGAAAAGAGAUGGGACCUAAGCUCAUAAUAUGUUUGGAAGGUUGAUACCGACAAGGUAAGUGUAUUAUGUUGGACUAAAGCUUUAAGAAAUACCCCCACGUCAUUUAUAAGAGGCAUCAUUCUUAUUUGGGAGACCUUGUCUUGAAGAAGCGUAUAUGAGCAGCGAAUUCGCAAUUCAUUUAAACGGACCAGAAUACGUUCCAACCUUAUUUAGAUUUAGAAAAAGCCUAUGUUGAAGGGCAAAAACAUCCGGUAAUUAAGUUUCACCUUAUUGGAAGAAUACAAAGCGUACAACAAGCAGUUGGGAAUUAAAUUAUUCGCUUACGACUUAAGAAUAAAUAUGGAGGUAAACUAUGUGAAUCAAGCACUAGAAGUCUUGUGGUGCUUGUCGGAUUCUAGUUUUUCUUCUGGUGGUGGUUGGAGAAUGCUUCAUGGUGACAUUUUUAUUAGUUUUAGUCAACUAAUUGGAGAUGGAAUUGUGAAAGACCGAACCAAAGGAAGAUGAGCAACAAGACAGAACAAAUACCAGAAAUGACUGGUGUGAUAAGAAUAAAAAGAGAUAAACAGAAUAUGAUUUGAAAAUGAGAAAGGGCUUAUGUAGAAGUUGUGUUUUCUGAAAGAUACGGGAAUAGCAUGAGAUUCCUCGUGCACAAAAUAAAAGAUGAAUGUAGACUGGAGAAAUGAAAGGAAUACCAAAGGAAGCACCCAAGACAGACGUAAUUAAUUGAGUAUGAGUAUAGAAUAAAAGGGAAACAUAUAGUUAUGGACUUAAAGAUGUAGUGCGACGAAACGAUGAUAAGACAAGACCACUAUUAAGACAAAUUCGAUAGGAUUUCGAGUAAGUUAGAAGUUAGCAUUUGAUAUACAACAAGGGUGAAAGAGCAUAAUCCAAUAAAAGAACAUUUAAAGAAGUAUUGGGAGUGCAGGACUAGUUUAACAUUCGAGGACGAAUGUUCUAAAGCGGGGAAGGAUGUUACAUCCCGUAUUUUCAUGUGUAGGAAAGCAUGUAAGUAAAAUGAUAUUAGUAACGAAAACGAGGUUAUCCUCCCAAGCUUAUGGGUGGUUGUAGUGAUGGUACAAAUGUGUUAUAAAUAUUUGAAGUUAAACAAAUCUAAGAAAAUAAGCUUUGUCGAGGUUCGAAAUUUAUUUGAUGAAAUACGGUCCAAGCUAUAAUAUCUCAUAUUUUUGGACUAGAAAAAUUUAAUCGUCCAAUAUGAGCAAAAUUAUUCGAGCCCGGAGAACUCGAUCAUAUUCAAGGAUAAAAAUUGAGUGAUCGGUGUACAAAGAGUUUGAGGUCCCAAAAUAAUUUAGGACUUAAAAAGUGUGAUGACGGUGACUGAGAAUAAUAUUUGGUGUAUGUGUAAAGAGGCUAUGAACUAGAGUUCUACCUCAUGGUUAUGAUAAUGAGUAUACGAAGUGUGUUAAAAUUGGUUCAUGUUCAAGUGAAUUGAGAUUAAUAAAUUAAUUAUGUGUAUAAUUAAUUAAGUGAGGACGUAUAGUGAAAAUAAAUAUAUUGAUUAGUGGAUAACUUUUAAGGGACAUACCCUUGUGAAUAAAGGACAUGUGGAAGCAAGACCAUAUAAUUAGUAGACUUUAGUGGGCCUAGCCAUAAGGCACGUGUAAGGGCCAAAGGUCCAUCAUUUUCUAUAUUAAUGUGUAGAGCUAGUGAAUUGUUGAUAGCUCACUUGAAAAAAAUGAAAGGAAAAUUCAGAAAAGGGGCGCUGGGAACAACAAUGGAGGCAGCAACGAGAUAUUUUCAGUUUGAAAAAAAAUAAAAUACCAAGCCAUACAUAGAUGCAAUUUCACGGAUGUAGCACCUAAAUGAAACAAAUUUUCGUUCCUUGUGAUUACACGUAGCCAACACACUGUGUUUACAGCAACAUGAUCAAGAAAUUCAUGAGAUCAAUUUUAAUUCUUUCUUUUUAAUUAUUUUUCUCGGGAAUAAUAUUCGGGUUUGUUCACCGGUUGGAUCUCGUUAUUCCAUUUUAUCGCGUUGUUGGAUCCGGGCUUUCUUGGAAGUGAAGUAAGGCGGAAGCAAAUUAUUUCUUGGCACAUGAGAUUGGUGAAGUCCAAGACCUAAGUUAUGGUUAACUUGAGAAGCGACAAGGUACAGACGCACAGUUUGGUGAUCCACCAGUUUAGGACACCCUCUUCUGCUGUUUGGAGUGCUCCUCUUAUUCCGGAGCCUACAUUUUGGUAUAUAUACUUGUUUGAUGCACAUGUAUAUAUAUUUGUUCAGGGGUACGGCGGGGCCCUAUCCCGCCAUAUGAUCCGUUUGGUCUGCUUAGAGGUCUGUAGACGUAUUUGUGGGUGUGUGUGCCUACUUCUGUUCAGAUGUGUUUGUAUGAUCCUAUUCGCUAUGGCAGCCUUGUCGGCGUGCAUUUUGUAUAUGUUUUGGGGCCGUUGUGCCAUUUGUUA